rnacentral:rRNA from 1 species
UACGGAGGGUGCAAGCGUUAAUCGGAAUUACUGGGCGUAAAGCGCACGCAGGUGGCUAAGUCAGUCGAUUGUGAAAGCCCUGGGCUUAACCUGGGAAUUGCAGUCGAUACUACUUAGCUAGAGUAUGGGAGAGGUAAGUGGAAUUCCCAGUGUAGCGGUGAAAUGCGUAGAUAUUGGGAGGAGCACCAGUGGCGAAGGCGGCUUACUGGACCGGUUCUGACGCUGAGGCGCGAAAGCGUGGGGAGCAAACGGG